rnacentral:rRNA from 1 species
CCUACGGGAGGCAGCAGUAAGGAAUAUUGGUCAAUGGACGAAAGUCUGAACCAGCCAUGCCGCGUGAAGGAUUAAGGUCCUCUGGAUUGUAAACUUCUUUUAUAGGGGACGAAAAAAGGGCAUUCUUGCUCUCUUGACGGUACCCUGUGAAUAAGCACCGGCUAACUCCGUGCCAGCAGCCGCGGUAAUACGGAGGGUGCAAGCGUUAUCCGGAUUCACUGGGUUUAAAGGGUGCGUAGGCGGGUAGGUAAGUCAGUGGUGAAAUCUCGGAGCUUAACUCCGAAACUGCCAUUGAUACUAUCUAUCUUGAAUAUUGUGGAGGUUUGCGGAAUAUGUCAUGUAGCGGUGAAAUGCAUAGAUAUGACAUAGAACACCUAUUGCGAAGGCAGCAGGCUACACAUAUAUUGACGCUGAGGCACGAAAGCGUGGGGAUCAAACAGGAUUAGAUACCCUGGUAGUCCACGCCCUAAACCGAUGAUUACUCGACAUACGUGAUACACUAUGUGUGUCUGNGNGAAGANAUAGUAAUACACCNGGAGUACGUCCGCGAGAGAGAACGUACGAAGAAGUAGACGGACGUUAGAGACGNGCCGACGGACGACGACGAGGGAGGAGG